CAUUCCCUUCAUUCUCUUCAAACUCACCAAAAAGAAGAACUCUCAAAUAUUUAUUUCUCUACAAUGCUUGAAGAAGAAUUAAACAUAGGGUUUCAUGUGAAAUCUCAAUUCCUGCAUUGAAGGGCCCGACAGUCAGGUUUCUCAAUAUCGUUGCAAAUGGUUGAUUGUGAGGUUCGAGAGCAUUGGUGACAAUUGCGAGGAGUUAUUUGAAGUGAACUUGGAUUUUAUCAAUCUUUCAAGAAAGUUGUGGUAUGUCCUCGAUUAAUUAGAGGACAUAAAUAUGUUUAGCUUUUCCUCUCAAAGACAUUGUAUUAGACUUUGUUAUUUCUAUUUGUUGAUGUAUGAGCCGUGACCAAAGAUAUUCAUGUGUCUAAGAUGGAGAGAAAGAGAUAUUCAUGUGUCUAAGAUUGAG